AGCCCGAUGUGGGACUCGAUCCCGGGACUCCAGGAUCGGGCCCCGGGCCAAAGACGGCACCAAACCGUUGGGCCACCAGGGCUGCCCUUAAUAUAACUUUUUAAAAUAGUAAUAAUCAUUCUCUUCUGAAAUUAGCUUUCAUUCCUAUUAGUACUUUUAAAUUACCUAACCUAAGUCUGUGAUCUAUUUCUAAUUCUUUUGGUCCUCGGGAGAGAGGUGAGGUCAUUUCCUGGCAUGGGAAGGACUGUGUGAAUGGGCUGCUGGGAUCCACGCACAGGCUUUGCUGCGUCUCUGUCUCUGCCUUCACUGAGCACAGCUUGCUGCAGGCGGGACACCCUACCUCACGUGGUUCUCGGGGCUCUGGCUCUGGGCAAAGAGCUUCCAGGCGAGGAACCAGAAGGAAGAACAUUGGAUCAGGGCUGAAGACCAGGGCUCACCUUCUAUUUCCAGGACCUGGUUAGCUGUGAGACCUAAAUGAAGGACCAGCCUAGGAGGGGUGUGUUUGGCCUCAGUGGGCUGAGCUAAAUGCAAAGAGAGUAACCACUUACCUGCAAGAGACAUAAGAACACACAGCAGUUUCAACUCUCCCUGCAUCAGAAGGUAGUUAAUGUAGUAAUCAAUACAUAUGGGUCUCUACUCUCUUUUGUCAACAAAUUUCUCCAACAUGGGAAUUCUCAAUUGCCCCAAGAGUUUGCCGUUGGUAGAUUUCUACUUUAAAUUGGUGAGUUCACAGACUUUCUGGGACCUUCGGAAUCUCUCUAAUUUCCCCCCCGCCCCCCAAGCUCUCAAGUGGGCCUGCAUCUCAAUAUCAAAGGCUACCUCCGCAGGGCUUUUUCCUUUGCUUUGAGUCUAUCAGCUUCACUGCCAUGGGCUGCAUGAGGGUCAAUACAGAUUAAUUCAGCUUUAGGGCUUUGGGUUUUUUUUUUUUCCUCAUAGAUGUAGUCAAUCAGAUUUUGAGAAUAACUGCAACAGCAGGCCUGGAAAACAAAGAGGUCAUUUUCAUCUCACCAGUCCUGGAUGAAGAUAACUAGAGGGGAAAAAAAACAAAAAUGGCCAAGGAAAUUUGGAUACCCAUCUAUCGACUUUUUUCUGGUAACAGUGAUCUUGAGAUGGAGCUCACAGACUCUACAGUUCAUCCAUUCGAAGCGUACAAGUCACUGGGUUUUAGUGAAUUCACAGACAUGUGCGAAACCAUCACCGCAGCCAACUUUUAAACAUCUGUGUACGUGUUUUUGUGUAGAUAAAUGUUGUCGAUCCUCUUGGGCAUAUACCUAGGAUUGUCAUUGUUGGGCUAUAUGUAACUAUGUAUUUAACUUCUCAGGAAAUUGCCAGACGGUUUCUCAAAGGGCCUAUGCCAUAUUAUCUUCCCCCUUCGAAGUAUAGGAGAGUGCCAGUUUCUCUACAUUCUCGCCAGCACUUGUUAUUAUCCAUCUUUUGGAUUAUGGCCAUCAUUGUGGGUACGAAACGGUAAUCCAUUGUGGUUAUGAUUUGCAUUUCCCCAACAGCUAACAUGUAACUCUUUUAAGAAUUGCAGUGCAGGGAAAGGUGCUGGAGGAAAUACUUCCUUUGUUUAAAAAUAACAUAAUUUCCUCUAUAAACCUGCUUUAGAACUUACACCUGUGGGUUCCGAGCUAUCAUCAUCAGAGAAAACAUCCAUGUUGGAAAGAAAUGUUCUUAGAUCGCCCCCACAAAAUUCACACUGCAGUGCUAUUUCCUCCUCUUCUUCCUUCAGAGAGGGGAAAAUAAAAAUGAAUUAGGCCCAUACAGAGGCCCGAGCCUCUGGGAGCAGUAGGAGUCAGGGCUCAGGGCAGGGCCGGCAAAAGUCCAGUAGGGGAGCAGGGGUGCUGGGGGAUGUGCCAAACUGUCAGAAUCCCUGGGGGUUCCCAGAAAUAGCUGCCAGGGGAACUUUCAGGAGGCUGAGAUCCUAUAUCAGAAGGCACCAAGCCAGGAAGAGCCGUAUAUUCCAGUAAUGAGACAUUAUUUCUGUUCAAGGGUUGGUGAGGCCUGAGGAGGCCGAGGUGGUAUUUUGAGGGCCUCUGUCUGGUGCCUUUCGCCAGAGCACAGCUGAGCCCAAAAGGAGCUCCUGGGUCCUUAGGACGCCUCCUGAGUGCAAGAAGAAAAUUGCACGCGUGACUUUAUUGUUGACAUCAGAGUCCCUUGUGGGGGAGGGGGUUACAGUGUGUCACCAGCUGCAGGCGCCGAAGGAUAACACACUUUAGCCCCAGCUGGGGCUCUGAGUUCUUCUGUCUGUGCUGCAAGGGUAAUUCAGGAGUGUGGGGGAGACCAGGGGAAGCAAUGGGAGACUUGGAGUUGGGGGGCUCACGGCUUGAGGCUCUCUCUAUGGUCACGUGGGUGAUCUGAGGUCACGGCUGUGACUGUAGGGGCUCCUGGGCAGGCAAGCAGCCAAGCCUCAGCACAGGCCUCCAGGGGAACCCCUCAUCACGCACUUGCAGGUCAUGAACACCACCAGGCCAGCUGUGUUCGCCAGUCUCUGGGCCCGGCAAAAUGGCCACCGUGGGGCCAAAGGGUGGCUGAGGUGGCCAGCGCAGCCAGGCAUUCACCACUCUGGAGUGAUGGCCCGUAUCUUGAGGCUACUGAAACUACCCACAGAUAAGUACUGCCCAUGGGUGAGAGCAGAACCCUUGGGGUGGGGCGGGGCGGGUAAAGCCCUGUCAGGGAGAGAUGGUGGUGACACAUCUAGUUUGGCUCCCAAGUGACCUAGCAGGCAGAAAGAGAGCGUGCUGAUGCCAGGCCAUUUCCAUAGUGAUUAGCUUCUCAGCCCACAGUCCCUUCCCCUACGGGGUAGCAAGGUGGAGGUGCUUCUAAAGACCACGAAUAGGGCGGGGCUGCCACCCGUCAGAGCCCCAUCUACGCAGACCUCAAACAUCUGCCCAAGAUCUGGGUGCCAGCGCGGGGACAACUCCCUGGAAGAAAGGCAACUGGGCUUUCCCCAUGUUCAGGACCGUCUCCGGGUGUCAGCUGAAGAAAACUCCAGCAACUUCCUGGGGUACAAGCUUUCAUGGUUCAGGAAGAGAAAGGAGCUGGUUUGAAUAAAGAUUUUCAGGGCAGCCCAGGUGGCUCAGCGGUUUAGCACCACCUUCAGCCCAGGGCCUGAUCCUGGAGACCCGGGAUUGAGUCCCACCUGGGGUUCCCUGCGUGGAGCCUGCUUCUCC